UUCAGAGACAGGCAUGGUAAUUGCAAACCGGAGGCAAUUUUAGCCAACUGUAGAUGCAAGUAUGUCAACACUAGAUACUGAAAACAGGACUGAGAUCAGGGCCUUUCUAUUUUCCCUCACCAUGACUUCCAGACUCACUGCCUGCCCCCUAAUAAGUAUGAACUACAGCUGGGAAGAUCUCCUGAGAAGAACAAGUGAGGAUUGAAAUGAAUAAAGAAGCAAAAAGGAGAGAAAGUUUUAAGUUUAGGUUAACAGAGAACAGAGAAGAGAAACCAGUGAAAUGAGUCAAGACAUGUGUGAUUGAUAAUUCAGUGAAAUUGAAAGAUAAAAGCAAGUGGGAACCAACAUCAACACAAGUCCUGCACUCAGACCUUGAGAUAGUAAGGUAAUAUUUACUUUCCCAACUUAUAUUGGGAUAAAAGCUCAAGUUAUAAUGCAUUUAAAUAUUACAUGAGAACGGCUGUAGAACUGGAACACUGUGAUACCCUGUCAGCACUUACGUUUCUCCUAAUAGGAGCACAAUAAAAUUAAAAUUCAAACAGUAUGCA
rnacentral:lncRNA from 1 species